UACGGAGGGGGCUAGCGUUGUUCGGAAUCAUUGGGCGUAAAGGGCGCGUAGGCGGCCGAUCAAGUCGGAGGUGAAAUCCCUCGGCUCAACUGAGGAAUUGCCUUCGAUACUGUUCGGCUUGAGUCCUGGAGAGGGUAGCGGAAUUCCCGGUGUAGCGGUGAAAUGCUUAGAUAUCGUCAAGAACACCGAUAGUGAAGACAGCUAACUAAACUUUUACUGACGCUGAGGCACGAAAGUGUGGGGAUCAAACAGG
rnacentral:rRNA from 1 species